ACUGUCUCUCUGAGAAGACGGCAAGGAGAGAAGCCAUGUUUUCUUUGUCCUGAUUUAUGUACAAUAAAUGCGUAGCUUCGCAUU